rnacentral:rRNA from 1 species
AUGGCCGCGGCCGCGACGUCGUCCACCACACCCGCGGCAACCACCUCCACCGCCAACAACACAACCACCGCCUGCUGCUCAUCGUCGUCCUCCUCGUCGUCGUCGUCCUCCGCCACCAGCCCCGGCCCGCACCGCAGGCGCCUCAACGACAUCGAGCGCGGCGACGACUGCUGCUGCGGGGGCGGCGACCCCUUCCUCGCCCUCGAGGACGGCGAGGGCGCCCACGGCCACGGCGUCCCCUUGCUGGCCGCCGGCGCGGCCUGCGGCGGGAGGGCGUCGCUGUUGGCGCGGAGGAGGCGCGCCGCGGGGCACGCCUGGAUGAGGGCCGCCGUGCUCUGCCUGCUCGGCCUCGUCGCGGUCGUCGGCUUCCUGGGCUCCCAGUCGCAAGGCGGCCGGGGAGGAGCCGGCGGCGGCGGCGGCGCCGCGGCCGGCGCCGACGGCGAGGAGGGCGGCAGGCUCGUGCAGAGGGUGGAGGUGGCCGACGCCGACGUGAUGGGGUGGACGGAGGAGAACCUGACGGCACUCACCCGCCGCCCGCCCGAUCCUCCGACACCGGAGAUAUGGAUGAAGCCAGACAGCGGGGGUUACAGCCAGUGCAUCGCACGCCCAAAGAAUCAGCGCAGGACUGACAAUGCGACUGUCGGCUAUCUGAUUGUCGACGCAAACGGCGGGCUAAACCAGAUGAGGAUGGGGAUCAGUGAUAUGGUUGCAGUGGCAAAGAUCAUGAAUGCGUCACUGGUAAUCCCCACUCUGGAUCAUCAGUCGUUCUGGACUGAUGCAAGUGACUUCAAAGAUAUAUUCGACGUGGAUCACUUCAAGGAAACAUUGAAGGAGGACAUUGUGGUUGUAGAUUCCCUACCACCAGCUUAUAGGAGGGUGAAGCCCUACGCGAGAGCGCCCACAUCCUGGUCCAGGGCUUCCUUUUACAGAGAUUUCUCAAAGAUACUGAAGAAGUACAAAGUAGUGAGAUUUACCCAUACGGAUUCACGGAUUGUCAACAACGGCCUCGCUCCUUCUCUCCAAAGGCUUCGAUGCCGUGCAAACUACAAAGCGCUUCAGUACAGGAAAGAGAUUGAAGAACUUGGUACUACCCUAGUUGAGAGACUGAAAAGGGGAUCAGACCAUUACAUCGCACUUCACUUAAGAUACGAGAAGGACAUGCUGGCUUUCACUGGCUGCAACCACAACCUGACACUUCAUGAGGCAGACGAGCUGACUGAUAUGCGACUCAAAGUGAGACACUGGAAGGAGAAGGAGAUCAACAGCGGGGAGAAGCGGCUCCAGGGCGGGUGUCCCAUGACGCCUCGCGAAGCUGCUGUGUUCCUCAAAGCCAUGGGAUAUCCUUCCAGCACUAAAAUUUACAUUGUGGCUGGUGAAAUUUACGGGGCACACAGCAUGGAUGCGCUGAAAGCAGAAUACCCAAACAUUUACACGCACUACAGUCUAGCCACAGUAGAUGAACUAGAGCCGCUCGAGUUGUACCAGAACAGGCUAGCUGCUGUGGACUAUAUCGUGGCCCUGCAGAGCGAUGUCUUUGUGUAUACCUACGACGGAAAUAUGGCCAGGGCAGUUCAGGGUCACCGAAGAUUCGAAGGUUUCAGAAAAACUAUAAACCCCGACAGGCUGAAGUUUGUAGAGCUCAUUGACAAACUCGACGACGGUUCCAUGCCCUGGGAUGAAUUCCAAAGUGAAGUGAGGAAGCAUCAUGAGGAUAGACUUGGAGGUCCGUAUGACAGAUUACCUGGUGAGAGUCCAAGGCAGGAGGAAUACUUCUACUCAAACCCUAUCCCUGGAUGCCUGUGCAAAAAGGUGCAGAGAGUAAAGUGA